rnacentral:rRNA from 1 species
AUUGAACGCUGGCGGCAUGCCUUACACAUGCAAGUCGAACGGCAGCACGGGUGCUUGCACCUGGUGGCGAGUGGCGAACGGGUGAGUAAUACAUCGGAACGUACCUUAUCGUGGGGGAUAACGCAGCGAAAGCUGUGCUAAUACCGCAUACGCCCUGAGGGGGAAAGCGGGGGAUCGCAAGACCUCGCGCGAUUAGAGCGGCCGAUGCCUGAUUAGCUUGUUGGUGGGGUAAAAGCCCACCAAGGCGACGAUCAGUAGCUGGUCUGAGAGGACGAGCAGCCAGACUGGGACUGGGACACGGCCCAGACUCCUACGGGAGGCAGCAGUGGGGAAUUUUGGACAAGGGGGGCAACCCUGAUCCAGCAAUGCCGCGUGAGUGAAGAAGGCCUUCGGGUUGUAAAGCUCUUUUGUCAGGGAAGAAACACCGGCUCUAACACAGUCCGGGAAUGACGGUACCUGAAGAAUAAGCACCGGCUAACUACGUGCCAGCCGCCGCCGUAAGAC